rnacentral:lncRNA from 1 species
GAGUGAAGUAUAAUGAUCACACUGGGAGGCCUUAACAUUAGCAUGGUUCAGUACUUUUUAAAAUCGGGGCCUAUCUUGAGUAGAGAAGGAGGCUUUUCGCACUUUCUCGGCCGCAGCUGCCAGGUCAGGAGCUGUCAGCUGCAAGGGCUCCCUGACUUAGACCUAACGCUUGCCUGCCCCAGCCCUCCAGAUCCAGCCACUGCCACCCCGCCACGCACCACAGGGAAAGGAAACCCUGCUCCAGCAAUGGCACAUUCUUUCAGACACAUUAAGAGCACCCCACCAGAACUUCUCACCUAGAAAUCAGUUGCUGCAACUCCUGUAAAAGGUCAAGACCAUUCUAAGAGUUUUACUCAGGCAGCCUUAUUGUCAGUGGGUG